rnacentral:rRNA from 1 species
GAUGAACGCUGGCUACAGGCUUAACACAUGCAAGUCGAGGGGAAACGACGGGGAAGCUUGCUUCCCCGGGCGUCGACCGGCGCACGGGUGAGUAACGCGUAUCCAACCUGCCUCUGACUGAGGGAUAACCCGUCGAAAGUCGGCCUAAUACCUCAUGGCAUCGUCUGCGGGCAUCCAACGACGAUUAAAGAUUUCAUCGGUCAGGGAUGGGGAUGCGUCUGAUUAGCUAGUUGGCGGGGUAACGGCCCACCAAGGCGACGAUCAGUAGGGGUUCUGAGAGGAAGGUCCCCCACAUUGGAACUGAGACACGGUCCAAACUACUACGGGAGGCAGCAGUGAGGAAUAUUGGUCAAUGGGCGAGAGCCUGUACCAGCCAAGUAGCGUGCAGGAUGACGGCCCUAUGGGUUGUAAACUGCUUUUAUGCGGGGAUAAAGUGAGGGACGUGUCCUUCAUUGCAGGUACCGCAUGAAUAAGGACCGGCUAAUUCCGUG